ACAGCAGCAGCCGCGGGAAUACGAAGGGUGCAAGCGUUAAUCGGAAUUACUGGGCGUAAAGCGUGCGUAGGCGGUGAGUUAAGUCUGCUGUGAAAUCCCCGGGCUCAACCUGGGAAUGGCAGUGGAUACUGGCUCGCUAGAGUGUGUCAGAGGAUGGUGGAAUUCCCGGUGUAGCAGUGAAAUGCGUAGAGAUCGGAAGGAACAUCUGUGGCGAAGGCGACUAUCUGGGCCAACACUGACACUGAGGCACGAAAGCGUGGGGAGCAAACAGGAUUAGAUACCCCUGUAGUCCCUGUCUCUUAUAC
rnacentral:rRNA from 1 species